AAUAAACACAGCCAUGAGUUUUCAUACCUAACUUUAACCAUCCGUCUUAUUUGAAUUCUUUUUAUAAUUAAUAUUUUUGUUGUUAUGAAAUGAUAAAAUAUAAAUAGUAUUUUGCUCGUGACUUAUGUUUUAAAUUUUUUUUAAAAAAAAAUUCAUAUAAAACGAACGAUCAAAGUUGAACGUGAAAAAUCAUGGCUGUAUUUAUU
rfam:Oryza glumipatula chromosome 2, whole genome shotgun sequence.